rnacentral:rRNA from 1 species
GAUGAACGCUGGCGGCGUGCCUAACACAUGCAAGUCGAGCGAUUUACUUCGGUAAAGAGCGGCGGACGGGUGAGUAACGCGUGGGUAACCUGCCCUGUACACACGGAUAACAUACCGAAAGGUAUGCUAAUACGAGAUAAUAUGCUUUUAUCGCAUGGUAGAAGUAUCAAAGCUCCGGCGGUAUAGGAUGGACCCGCGUCUGAUUAGCGAGUUGGUAAGGUAACGGCUUACCAAGGCGACGAUCAGUAGCCGACCUGAGAGGGUGAUCGGCCACAUUGGAACUGAGACACGGUCCAAACUCCUACGGGAGGCAGCAGUGGGGAAUAUUGCACAAUGGGCGAAAGCCUGAUGCAGCAACGCCGCGUGAGCGAUGAAGGCCUUCGGGUCGUAAAGCUCUGUCCUCAAGGAAGAUAAUGACGGUACUUGAGGAGGAAGCCCCGGCUAACUACGUGCCAGCCGCCGCAGUAA